rnacentral:rRNA from 1 species
AUUGAACGCUGGCGGCAGGCCCAACACAUGCAAGUCGAGCGAGCGGCGGACGGGUGAGUCAUGUCUGGGCAACUGCCUGAAGGUGGGGGAUAACUACUGGAAACGGUAGCUAAUACUGCAUACCAUAAGAUGUGCUCAGAUGGGAUUAGCUAGUAGAUGGGGUAACGGCUCACCUAGUCGACGAGACCUAGCUGGUCUGAGAGGAUGACCAGCCACACAGGAACUGAGACACGGUCCAGACUCCGACAGGAAGCAGCAGUGGUGAAUAUUGCACAAUGGGCGCAGGCCGGAUGCAGCCAUGCCGCGUGUGUGAAGAAGGCCUUCGGGUUGUAAAGCACUGUCAGCGGGGAGGCGUUACCCGCAGAAGAAGCACCGGCAAACUCCGUGCCAGCAGCCGCGGUAAUAC